UUCGCAUGUUUGAUUUUGAACUCCUGUUGUUUGUACACAUAAACAGCGUUCUUUUGAAGAAGCUUUUUUGUUGUUGUUGAGGAGAAGUUCUUCAAUCCUCACUACGAUGUCUCGCAGACGAAACGAGCCUGGCUUUUACGCCAGGCUCAACAAGUGUUCCUCAGCUGAUAUUUUCAGUAGUCCCUCGCGGAGGAAGUUCAGGCAGACUGGACCUGAAGUAUUCGCUGCUUCUUACCUAAUCGACAGGAGAAAGAAGAAGGGCGGAAGCAUGCAGUACCUGGUGAAGUGGAGAGACUUCAGCCUAUACGAUGCGACGUGGGAGAUAGAGGAAGACAUCAGCCAUGAUCUCAUCAGGUGAUUUCUUUUGAUUUUGGUGGUGAUAUGAUUGGAUGUAAUCUUACGUGAAUUUGAAAAUCUGCCUUUUGUGUGCUGUAGAGCUUUUGAAGGAACGGGAAUGUUGGGCCCUUUCUCAGAUGAUGAAUUGUUUGAGGCUGCUGAUGGUAUUCGCACUGCUGUGCAGCGAAAGCUACGUAGUGGAUGUUCAAAUCCUGAGUCUACUUUAUGCAGAAGGGAAAUUGUUUAUUUCUGGUUUUCGAAUCAGAAACUGGACAAAGGGGGUGCUGUAGAGUUGGGAGAGAAGGAUUUCCCUGUGAAGUUCUUUCCUCCAGUUUGGGAUACUUGCAUGAAUGUACAUGGACAAGGCCCUCGGGUUCACUACCCGGUUACCAUCAAGCCUACUGUUCGCCGUAGUCCUUGUACGUUCGUGCAAGAUACCUCUGGAUCUAUGACGGAAGGGCAUCGUGCUGCCAGGCAGUUUGUCUCUAUACAAUUUGUCAGUGUUCAGUCACACGUCUGAGUAAGGUUCGCAAAAUGAUGAUGGAUCCACUCAGCAAAUAUGGUUGACAUCCCCCAUCUGAUUGUGGUAAUGCUAACAUUUAUCACUUAUUAUGACAGAAUGCCCAACUAUCUUUUCCAUGGCUCAGGGUUCUUGCUUAUUUCCUUCCUGUUCUCAUUAGGAACGAUUGUGGCGCUCGUCCUUGCUUCGCAAACUCAUCCGGUCUGCUUGUAGGAAGGAGGACGUCUCCACUUGUCUUGUGCUCAUUGCUGCGUCAGUGAUACCAUUUUCCAGGCAACAUCAUCGCCCCAUGCCCAGAUAACUGCCAUAUGCUGCCCUCAUCCAUGGUCCUUGCAACCGGAGGGGUGUUGAAAUAAGCUGAUAUGUAUUGGCGCAAUUCCUGAUUGUCGCGUCCCAGCUGGUCAAGCAGAGUACCAUCAUCGACCGUUUCCGUGAGGGUUGUCAUGGCAUUGUACAGCGUUACCACCUCAUCAUGCUUGUAAUGUAUGGAUUUCAUUUCCUCCUGCACUACUACAAGUUCCUCUUUCAAUAAUUCGACCUCUUUCCUGAGAUCUAUGGCAGUUGCCAUGUCCUUCAGAUCGACUGAACACGUAUACACAUUGCUCUGGUGAUACUUAUCUCUUCCUUUCUUGUGUGCUUUACGUUUUUUCUUGAAAGUGCACGCUGCUGACCUCAUCCGCGUGUUCAGGCGAGCUCUGGCAUCUUUCUUGACCUGUACACGAGCAGAAAAUGACAACACCAUGUGUUUGUUCUUUUUCUACCUAGAUGAGUCAGUGAAGUGUGUCCCUAUGAAUAUGGGACACAGCUACUUUAUUUCUUUAUCUUUCGUGGGUGACUUUCACAGGCCAAUACUGUAUUAUAUUGAUUUGGAUCUGGUAGAACUUUUUGCUGGACACAUACAAGCAACAUAAAUGUUGAGCCACUUGAUAUAGUUUCUUGUUGGUCACUUACA